GAGAGAGAGAGAGAUCAGCCGGUGGAGAAGAAGAAGAAAGAAGGAAAGAAAGGAGGAAAUAGGUGACGAGUCGGUGAAUCAAGGAGCACCGAAACCAUAGUUGUACUUUCUUUUGGAGUACGAGUUUUGCAGGCAUUGUAGAUAUCCACUGCUGAUCGUCGUGGGGUUGUACGCUCGCUUAGGGUAGCAUGUUGGGAAGGCUGGACUAGUUUUGGCAAAAUUUUGUAGAUAGGGAUGUAGUUGCAGC